GAUUUUUCUGGAAACUAAGUUGAGAACUAAGCUCAUGGUGCUGGCUGCAGGUUCUUACCUUAAGGAUUAAAAUUAACUUUUGAGGCCCAUUUAGAAUGUCUUGGCUGGAGAAGGGUGCUGAGAAACCUGAAGUGUCAUUACCGAAGGCUGGAUAAUAAUGAAAAAUUGAAUAAAACCAGACCUACACAUGGACCUCUGUAUCUCCAAGGCAUCUGCAGGAGACCCCCAGUGCUACUGGAGCCAUGGUUUCUGGGAGCGCUUACCGUUGACCUGCAUUGUGUCCACCAUGAAGCAGAAGGUGCUGGACUUGAGAGAGGGUGGUGAGUGAGAGCAAAGUACCCACGCAGCUGCCUGGCGGGAAGCAAGGAGCCCCAGCGGGAAGGGAUGCAGCAUAUGUAUACGUGGUAUCUUGGUUGCAGUACUCUUCAUCACUCAGGAAGAUUUUUCAGUGCCAAAAGUCUGAGAAAAUGAUGGGACUGAGAAGAACUGAAGAUAUAUGUUUGAUCAGAAAAAAAUGUGAAGAUUUCAGAGCUUACAAAGCAAAUGCAAUGAUUUUCUUGGCCCUCUCCUCUAAACUUUCCUGCAGGAAAACUUUCACAGCCUCAACUAACUUCACAAGUAGCAGGUGCCUGGGCACGUACAAUAAUCUUAAUGUGUGAGCAAUUUAGCAGAAUGCAGUCUCCAUCUCAAUGCUGGGAACUGUACAGCUUUGCAGAGCAGCACCAAAUGGGAGAAGAACAAUUGGAGCAUUUUUAUAUGUAUAUGCCUAAGUGAAACUUUUAUUUAUUUUCGUAUCUAGGCCAAGCACAGGAGAAGCAAGCCUAUCUUACCUGCAAUGUACUCUAUCAGUGUUAUCACUGUGCCAGAAAUUAACAAUUUUUCUUUUACAGUAUUACUCCUACAAGUUGGCUGUCAAGAAAAUGUUACAAUUUUGCCAGAUCUUCUGCUCAUAUUUGCGUAAAAUCUAUGUUAUACACACAUACCAGUUUAGAUUAAUAUCACUAGGUACAGUGGUGGCUGAAUGUUUUUUCCCAUGUGAUCCAUAUAUAUUAAGUACCUU